rnacentral:rRNA from 1 species
AUGGCGUGGACGGCCGUGGCGGACGCGAACGCCGGGGGAUUCGGGGUCGGGGCCGCCGGAGUGGGGCAGGUCCUCGACGGCUCCAACCCGGCCAUCGUCCGGCUCCGGCAGCUCGUCGACGGGCCCCAGUCCUCAGAGGGGUGGAGGCGGUGCUGGGAGCAGGGCGUGACGCCGUGGGACCUGGGCGAGCCCACGCCGGCCGUCGUCAAGCUGGUGCAGUCCGGCACCCUCCCCGCCGGCAACGUGCUCGUCCCGGGAUGCGGCGGGGGGUACGACGCGGUGGCCCUGUCCGGCGGCGGCCGCUCCGUGGCCUUCGUCUGCGCCGACUUCUUCACCUGGUCACCACCGGAGCCGUUCCAUCUCAUCUUCGACUACACAUUCUUCUGCGCCCUUGACCCGUCGCUGCGGCCAGCGUGGGCGGCGAGGAUGGAGGAGCUGCUGCGGCCGGACGGAGAGCUCAUCACCCUCAUGUACCUGCCUCAAGACCAGGACUCGGGGCCACCAUACAACACGACAGUGCACGACUACGAGGAGGUGCUGAACCCCCUGGGCUUCGUCAUCCAAUCCAUCGAGGACAAUGACGUGGCGGUCGAGCCACGCAAGGGGCUGGAGAAGAUAGCAAGGUGGAAGAAGACGGCAGCUGGAGCCGAAACGUCGACAUCAGACGUGCCCUCUGAUAAUCUCUAG